rnacentral:rRNA from 1 species
UUAAAUUGAAGAGUUUGAUCAUGGCUCAGAUUGAACGCUGGCGGCAGGCCUAACACAUGCAAGUCGAACGGUAACAGGAAACAGCUUGCUGUUUUGCUGACGAGUGGCGGACGGGUGAGUAAUGUCUGGGAAACUGCCUGAUGGAGGGGGAUAACUACUGGAAACGGUAGCU